UCUUUUUUUCUUUGAUUAGAUUCGCCUCUUAGAUUGAUUAUCUUGUAGAGUUUUUGAUAUCUAUGGGAUGUUUUACUAGGGUCGCGAUAAAUUUUAGCAAGGGCGCUGAGUCGCUUUGCCUAUGUAAAAUCAGGCGUAGCGAAUAAGCUCCUGCUAGAUUUUAUAUCUAUUCGUUCUUCUUUUUUUUUUUUUUUGCAUGUUUCUUUAAGGAUCCAAUGAUGGCAUGAAAUCUUUGAGACCUGAUUUUUAUUGAUGAAACGCUAUAAGCAUUUUGACUCUGAGGAUCCUUAAUAUUUUUUUACACAUUUGUUUUCAUGUUAAUAAUCCUAAUUAGAAAAGGUGAUGAAUAUGCACUGGGCUCUGAGUUGUUGAUUGACAUUCAACUUCUUUUUGAUGCAUAACGCAGCCUAGAAAGCUUAAUCUGAUUUUCAAUUUUUUCAUUAUAUAUUCGUCCGUUUUUCUUUCUUUUUGUGUGUUUCUUGGUUAAACAUAGUUAUUAUUUCUAUGAUCAGAGAUAUGCUUAUCACAUUUGUACUGGACCUCGGUGCAAGUAGACAAUUUGCUAGAGAGACAAGUUACUCUAGAAACUUACAGAGCGGUGAUGGUUAUGUACAAUCUCAACUGCUUCUUUGUUGUUCAAAUGUUCCCAAAGACCAUCAGAUGCAAAAAUGAGGAACGAAUCAUUGGGGUGCAGAGGAUGACAUAGUAUGGUUGGGGUUGCAUUGCAGACAUCAACGGUCUUUCCACUGGCUCUGCAAGUCUGAACUUAUGACCCCUUGAUUAUAUCAAUUACCCCUUAACUAUAACGACGCUUGAUUAUAUCAAUUACCCCUUAACUAUAACGACGCUUGAUUAUAUCAAUGUCCCCUAUCUUGUUAUGUCUACGUAAAGCUACUGCAGAUAAUAUCAUGGUUUAAAAAGUAGCUUAACAAGAGCUCAUUCUAUAGUUAUCAAUAGCACGCAUUAAACAUCCUUAUGAUUUUUUUUUGUUAUUUAGCUUACAUGAUACUUGUUUUAUUAUUAUCUGAAUGUUAUUAUAUGUGUCAUUAACAAUAAGAAUUAUACACAGAGAAAUCAAAGCUUCAUUAAUUUUUUUUUAGCAUUCCAAGGAAAACAAACAUCAUAACAUUCCAUUGUUUUUGUUAAGUUUGCAAGGUCCAUUUUUUCGUAUCUUCCAUUCACAUUGUCUGCAACCAAAUUUCUCAAACUCUCUAUCUCUCUUUUGUUUAUAAAUAUCAAAAUGAUGCCACUCGUUCCCCCAACUAAACCUGCAAAAGAAUAAAGUACGGCCAAAGACAUCAGGUUUAAAGUCAAAUGGCCAUUAUCCAUCUGGUGCCAACCUCCGGUCUCCAAGUUUCUUAUUCCCCGAUUUACAAUUAAACCAUAGCAACAAACCCCCUCCAAUAUCAUUAUGAAUCGUCACUUUCCUCUUCUGUGCUUGAGUUAUGGUUCCAGUACUCAGGACCGUCUUAAACUAUUUUAUAGCCUUGGGCGAAAUUUGAAAUAUGGACUCUUUCUAUAAAACAUUUCUUCAUUCCAUUGCCUUGAUUAUGAUCAAUUCUUUGAUGAGUAUCGUGCCCACUCAUUUUUAUGACCUGAAACAAUAAACUAUAAGAGAGUAAAAGAUAUAGAUGUAAUCAAUUAAACAAACCUCUACUUUGAAAUGGGAUCUCACUAACUGAUCAAUGAAUAGAAUAUAUUCUUGUUUUGUGUUUUUGUAGGUUAAUUAGGUUUAGCUGAUUAUGGGCCUUUUAUUAUAGGUUUAUAAAACUAUUUGGUCUUUUAACAAACUAAAAUGAACUUUUUACAAUUAGUCAAAUUACAUUAAAUUUUUUUUUGGACCCUUGGGCCCAGGGCCAUUGCCCCCACUUGCCAUAGUCCAAAGCCGGGACUGGCAGUACUUAUUAUGGACAUGGUCAAGAGAACAAUGAGGUGUUUUGGAUAAUCCAUUGUUCCUGACUUCCUUCUCUUUGUUUUUUUCUUCAAUUUUUUCUUCUGUAUUAUUCCUGCCAUAGUUUCUUUAUAUUAACCUUUUUCUGUUAACCAGUUUGGUAUAGCUCUCGUUGUUUAGUAACUAAUGAUGAAUUUGUGAAACAAUAUAUAUCAAGUUAUCAACAAACAAUAUAUAUCAACAAUAUGCUUCACACUAUGUUUCUUUUUAACACAGUAUAACAUAUUUUAUUGUUAUAAAUAUACGUCAAUCUACCUUGUCACACACGCUUCUAACUACUCCAUUAUUCCCGGUUAACACUUUGUAAGAAGACAAUUUAACAAACGCGGAAGAGAAGGCGUUGAAGAAACGGUCCUGAUCAGCCGCAAACGCUUCGACAAACGGGCGUGUGCGUGGGUCCACUCCAAUCUCCGAGUCAAUUCUCAGAUUACCACGUCCCGCGAUGGAAUCAUCGUAAUAAGCUGUGUCGAAGAUCAACGAAGUCUGGUCGUUGGGAACAAACGUAGCUUCCGCUGUUUUGGAUGUCGGAGAAAACUCUGGGCAAACAACUCGCAAAAACGUUUGAAAACGUGGAUCCAUGUU